rnacentral:rRNA from 1 species
CCUGCCCGCUGGGUUUCUGAAGGGCCGCAGUAUUUUGACUGUGCAAAGGUAGCAUGAUCAGUAGUCUCUUAAUUGGGGGCUUGUAUGAAUGGUUGGACGAGAGGAGAGCUGUUUCGAGAAUUAGGAUUGAAUUUAACUUUUGUGUGAAAAGGCGUAAAUGAGUUGGUGGGACGAUAAGACCCUAUAAAACUUAACAGGGUAGUUGUUGUUAAUGAAGUAAGGUUUAAAUUUGAUUGUGAUGAACUUGUUGUGUUGGGGCGACAGGGAUAUAGAGAAAGCUGUCUUUUAUACUGAAUAGGGGUUGCUAGGUUUUGAUCCUUUAAGGUGAGGAUUUUAAGAUUAAGUUACUUUAGGGAUAACAGCGUGAUCUUCUUUGAGAGUUCAUAUCGACGAGAUGGGUUGCGACCUCGAUGUUGAAUUAGAGUUUCCCCCAGGUGCAGAAGUCUGGGAGGUAGGUCUGUUCGACCUUUAAAACUUU